CUCUUCUCCUUAUUGUGCUCAGCUGACUCAACCAUAGACUGGUCUAGAAAUAAUUCCAAUAUUGAAGACUCUAAUUUUGAAGAUGGCUAACAAUCUUCAGCCAGCUGUGUUAAUUUAACAUAUAGUCUCCACUUUUCCUGAGAAGUAACAGCUUAAUUCUUGAUUCACAAGGCUACCUCUCCCAUCUCAGAGGCCAAGCCUUGGGUCCUUAAAGUUGUUAAUUUACAACUGAAUUGGAUACUUCUGGGACAAGUUAAUCCUAUUCCACCUUUAACUCUUGACCUUGUCUGUUAAGCAGACUGGCUGUCUCCACCCAGGUUCACCUGGAUGGAGAGAUUACAUGUCUGUUAAAGACACUUGCAGACCCCCCUGGCUUCAAAACUUACACAAGUGGAUCUCCAAAGAGGGAGCCACAUAGAACUCAGAUCUAUGUGUGUUUGUUUAUGAACAAACAUGGGUACCAGCGAGACGUGCGAGGCAAAGCACUGCAUGGGGAGGUGAAUUUCUGCUUCUGAGUCCCCAGGAAGUACACCUAAUUGCAUAGGGGUUAACGUCGAGAGGCUGUCCUUAAAAUAAUAAGGGAGCCUAUUACCCCUCCUCUGAAAAAGACGUUAUACAAUAUUUAAGAGGAAUUACGGUCAAUGCUUCCCCUCCUGGUUAAGGCCCGCCUUCUUAUGAAGGAUAUUUAUCCACUUGUUUUCUACCUCCUCGUGUUCAAAUUAAUAAAAAAAGGGAGGACAUGUACAGAGCCAUAUUGGGGCAGUCUUGCACUUGGUCAGAGUUUGACUUUGGUCAAGGUUAACUUCUCCCAGUUAGCCAGGAUUCUGCUCCACCUAGGGUGGAGUGCACGUAGUAAAGGUUAAGUUCAUUGUUCUUCCUGGUAUAGGGAUUCCUGAAUUAAACAGGUGACCCACCCAGCUGCCUGAGCAGUCAAGACGAGGACCUCCAAGAGAAGCUAGACAACUUCCACCGGAACUCAGCCUGGAGUCUGGGGGAAAGGGGUUUGCCCGAACUGUUAAAAGGUCCGGCGCCAUUAAAGUUUACGGCUUUGAUCAGUGAA